CGCGAAUGGCUCUUACAACAGCUAUAAUUUACUUGAUCUUGACAACCUACUUGGAUAACUGUGGUAAUUCUAGAGCUAAUACAUGCACCAAAGCUCCGACCGUAAGGGAAGAGCGCAUUUAUUAGAACAAAACCAAGCGGCUUCGGCCGUCCAAUGUUGACUCAGAAUAACUAAGCUGAUCGCAUGGUCUUGUACCGGCGACGUGUCUUUCAAGUAUUUGCCUUAUCAACUUUCGAUGGUAGUGUAUCUGACUACCAUGGUGAUGACGGGUAACGGAGGAUAAGGGUUCGACUCCGGAGAAGGGGCCUGAGAAAUGGCCACUACGUCUAAGGAUGGCAGCAGGCGCGCAAAUUACCCACUCUCAGAACGAGGAGGUAGUGACGAGAAAUAACGAGACCGUUCUCUACGAGGCCGGUCAUCGGAAUGGGUACAAUUUAAACCCUUUAACGAGUAUCUAUGAGAGGGCAAGUCUGGUGCCAGCAGCCGCGGUAAUUCCAGCU
rnacentral:rRNA from 1 species